rnacentral:lncRNA from 1 species
AGGCCUCCCUAACUUCCGGAUAGGCGCCAUAUUGGAAAAAACUGAUGUUACUCAAAGAGGUAAGUCGUCAAUUUGAAAUGUUGAAUUAAGAAAAUCGAGCAAACCAAUUUCAUAUUGAAUUAGUUUUUAUUGUACUGUGAGUUAAAAAUUUUGAUGUUAUCAUAUUUUUAUAAACAAAAUUAUUAUGGUUAUUGAGAAAAAGUUCAGCAUUGCCAAGAAUGUUGCGAAAACACAUGUCUGAUAAAACCAAGUCUUGGUUUUAUGAAUUUUUCACAAUUGCUCGUUUUUGGAUAAGAAAUUUCUUUAAAUUAAAGGUCCGAUAGAAGUUUAAUAGGUUUUUGAAUGUUUAUAUGACAACCUCAUUGCAAAUCGGAUGCAAAUUAUGCAUUUUGACGCACAUGUUAUGCCGCUUCAUUGUUAUUCAAAUGAGCGACCAAAACCGGUUGUUUGUGUACUUUAGCACACAUGGUGGAUCAUUGAAAACGUAUAGGCAUUGUAUGGUUUUAUUUCUAUUCAUCUGUAAUUUAAACUUUACUAACUUCAAUACAUUGUUACACCAAUACAUGUACUUUGACAGAGAGUUGGGUCCUUGAAAAUCAUAUGGUAUGCCAUCCUUAUCUUCUUAUUUAUAUUUAUAUUAUACACACAUACAUUGACAAUAUAAUAUACAUGUAUAAUGAUUUGACAAGUAUCAGUUUUGAUUCAAACAAGUAUCAGAUGUUGUUCAGUUUCAUUUCAUUGGACUUGGGAAUUACUCUCGGGGGGGGGGGGGGGGGGGGGUGGACUAUAAGAAAUAUAUGAUUAGAUCAAUAAAGUUCCAAUAACUUCUUAGUCUCUCAUCCUUCUUGGUGUUACAAGCUGUUUUUAUCAAUCUUUUUUUACACAUUGGUAUUCCACUCUUUUAUUGCAGAGCAUUAAUAUCCACAUGAAACCCAAACAAUAUAGGAAAAGGUUACAUAUCAGAGGCCCCUCAUGGGGGGGUCCUAGUAAUCACAUAAUCACAAUUUUUUUGCCAAUAUAAUCACAUAAUCAUUAAAUAUUUGCUUAUCUUUAGUAAUCAAAUAAUCAUAAACUAAAAAUACAGUCUUAGGUAAUCAAAUAAUCAUGAAAUAUUUGGCUUAAUAAUCAAAUAAUCAUUAAAAAAACGGCCAAGUAAUCACAUAAUCAAAAACCCCAUGAGGGCCCUCAUAUCACCUAUGUAUCUGUAUUUGCAAUUUAUCAUGUUGCAAAACAAUAUAUAUCUCCAUGAUUCGUGAAGUUAUUUCAAUCUAAAUAUGCUACCCUACACUAUAAUAUUUAUUUAUGCUUUGAAUGAUCCAGUACUUUAAUAGUCAUGUCCAUAUUCAUAUUAUGCCUUCAUAUAAUUUCAGUCAGUGGAAAGACAUACAUGUAGAAUCAACAUCCUAGAUGAUUUUGCAAUUUUUCAUACAGACUAUGAAAACACUGCUGUAGUUCUUUGAUUUUUAAUAAGUUGUACAUGUUGUUGUGAUGUAACACAUUACUUUUCAUAUUACUACAUGUACAAAAUGAAUGAAAGAAGGUAAGAUAUUAAAGUUAUACUCAAAUAGUUAUUUUUACUUGUGAGAAAGUUGCAUGUAAUAUUUCAUAGAAAAUGAUUCUUCUUCUUGUUAUUGACUUACAAAUGUAACUCGGUCUCAAAUGAAAUGAAAGUUCAAAGAUUUAAGAAUACAAACAAGUACAUGUGUGCAUAAACAAAUAUUAAAAUAUUAUAGUCUACAUGUAUAUUAACAUUGCCAUGUAAAAUAUCAGAAUAUUUUUUAUAGUAUACAGCUGUUGACCAUUUUUAUAACACAGACUACAAAUUUUGUGGUCUCAGUGAAAUUAAGUCCUGUAUUUGCAGAUUUUUCCAUCUUUCAUACAUGUACAUGUAGGUGUAAUUAAGAUUGAGCCAAACUGCAUGGAAAAAUGUACUGGAACAGUUUACUUUCAAAAUAUUGAUGUACUUUGUAAUGAGCACCAUAGGCUGAUCUAGGGGGCUGGGUGAAGACUGAAGCCCUUUUGGUGGAAAAAAAUUGCUUAAUUAUAUAUGAAAUCACUGAAGCAUGACUGAGAGCAGUCCCCUUAGGUCAGUCAGAGUACAAGUUAUGGAUGUAUACCAAUAUAAAAUACAUGACAAUAUAAAAUACAUGACACUCUAAAAUAAGAGAAUAAAACAACCACAAACUUUUAAAUAGUUUACAAUCAGGACAACAACAACAUUGACCUUCUUCAUUUUUGGGGUCAAGGUGACAGGGCUGCCACUUUUUAAGAACAUCAUUGAUUAUUUCAAUUACAUUUUUUAGAUUGAAAUGCUUUUGUAAAAUUUAGUUACACAUUUAUGAUAAUUUGAUAAAGCUUAGAACAAUGUAAUAGUUUUGUUUUAAACUAUUUUUUUAUAUCUGCAAUAAAAUGAGAAGUGUUAUUGUCUUUAUAAGACAUUAAUAUAUAAGUCACAUUUAAAUUGUACUUUUAAAUUGCAUGUAUUGUAAAUUUUUUUCUUAUAUUGGAUUUGUUUUUCACUACAUGUAUAACAUUAUAAUUUCAGGUUAGAAUGCAAAACUGGUGAAGAUGAAGGUUAUAAUUGUGAUCUACAUAUUGAUUAAUUUGAAGCAGAUUUUGUUCUUAAGAGUGAAAUAAAAAAAAAACAGACAUGUAUUUAGAAAGAUGUUCAACUAUUAACAAGACAACAAGCAUAUUCAUUGUAUGACUGAGAGAGA